UUGCCCUCCACUAUUGCAAAGAAAAAAAUGCCGCCCUCUCUUCCCGAUACUUCUCGUCGCCUCCGUCGCCUUCUCUCCCCAAUCUGUCCUCGGCGUGACGGAUGGGGGCGGCCAUGGCUGCGGCGCACUCUCUCCCCUCCCGGCCCAUCAGCGCGAGGGCAUCACGUCGUGGUGACGGUGGCGCAGCACGUGGGCGGCGUGGCGCGAGCGCCCCUGACGCGGCGGGACGGUGCCGAUGCGUCCUCUUCCAUCCUGAGGUAGCGACAAGCGCGCGAGGCGGCAGCGCUUCCUGCGGGCGGCGUGCCAGCGUGAACGGCCACCGUCCCUUCCCCCACCGCCCAUGGGGCCAGGCCAUGCGGCAUGGGUGCGACCUCAGGCGGUGGUCGUACCUCUGCUCUCCCUCGGUCCAUCCGCUCGCAAAAAUUGGAUUGUUGUUUCUCCACCAAGAGGCGUACCAUCACAAGGUACACACAAUAUACAGCUACUAUCCUAACAAGUGAAGCUGCAGCUGUCAUUCUCAAAAAAUUCAAAUUCCUUGGCUGGUCCAUAUAGAUCAGUGCUACCCGAUGCCACAUUGUUGCUAUCCUAGCAGUUGUGUAUUUGAUUAAGGUACGAAAAGAAAUUGAAGGCCUCAUUGUUUCUCUUGUUUUCUUCGUUCAUUCAGGUAUAGAAUUGGUUGGCUAAUCUGUAUUUACAAAUUUAGACAACCGCUGCUUGCUUAUGACAUAUAUUUCUUUUUAUUUUCUCAUCCAUCCAUGAGUCUGAUGAAGCGUUUCAGUCAAUAUGGGAUUUACUUGACUAUGUACCAGUAGGCCUGGCGUCAAAAAGAGACAUCAAGUGCUCAUUCAGCUCUGUCAAUUAUCCUCAUAUGAAAUUCUAUAAGCUUUUCAAUUUCCAUGCCUAUGCACCUAAAGGUCUGAUGAUCUAUGCAGUUAUCUGAUUUACAGCAGGAAUUGACAGCCAUUUGGAACCAGAGGAACGUGCAUGCAUGUGCUUGCAUCUAUUCUGGUUGUUGUUUUAAUUCCAAGGGUCGGUUCGUUUAGCUUUUUCAUAUCUGUGUGUACAAUGAUUUUCCAGAGCUUUUGACUUGGUGUCUGCAACUUGAUUUUUUUAUGGUCCAAAUGUUCUUUGUAACAUGUGUAAAAAUUACUAUUGCAUAUGCUAUGAAUUCCCAGAGCUUUUGACUUGGUGUCUGCAAUUUGAUUUUUUAACUAUGUGCUGCUCACUCUAAUUGUGACUUACUCCAUUUACCAACUGUGCAUAUUGACAUUCUUUUAUUUUCCACAGAAUAGUAGGAUGAAGGACGAAAUAAAUAGACUAAGGAUGAUCAUGGAUCACUUUCCUUUUUCCUUUUUCCAUCCUUAUUUUCCUUUCAUUGAGUUUUUAAACUGUGCUACUCACUCUAAUUGGUGACUUGCUCUAUUUACCAACUGUGCAUAUUGACUGAGUUUUUGACUGUAUGCUGCUCGCUCUAAUUGUGACUUGCUUUGUUUACUAAUUGUGAGUGCUGACCUUCUUUUAUUUUUCACAUAAUACUAGGAUGAAGGAGGAGAGGAAGAGGCUAAGGAUGAUCAUGACAUAGUAAAUGGGGGAGAACCUACCUUUAAUUUGAUCUACAAGUUAUGAGCAACCUUGUGCAGGAUCGAGUUUGCGAUACACAAAGUUCAUCUCAGGAAGGUAACUAGGCAGUACAUGAUCAAUUUCCACAAGAGAUGCACAUGAUGCCAGGAGAGCAAAACGGCUACAUGCCGCCUCAUGGCAUAGGGUUUGGCAUAUUAAGCCAGCCUCCAAUCAUGCAUAUCCUGUUGCCAAGUGUGUUCCUAGGUGGUUCUAACCAUGUGUUGCACGUCGCAGAUUUUACCACACUUGAUUGAUGACCAGUUGACCACAUUGCAGCUCUGUCUAUAUCAUGAUUUAUAUGUGUUACUUUCCUCGACCUAAAUUGCUCCACAGAGACAAUGACUCAGCUGCAAAUCAAGUUUACCCUUAGUUGUAAUAUUUUGUCAGCUUUGAUGUACUGGUCAAUUACUUUGCAUCUGUUUUUACUUUUUAGAACUGCUGCCUCAGCAAGAACAAUAUUGCUUUUCAUACUUUGUCCUCAAUUCAUUGUCUGCUUGAGUGUCAACUUGAUUAUGUUGAUGUUGUGUUAUCA